GACGAGCGCUGGCGGCGUGCCUAACACAUGCAAGUCGAACGAGCGAGAGAGAGCUUGCUUUCUUGAGCGAGUGGCGAACGGGUGAGUAACGCGUGAGGAACCUGCCUCAAAGAGGGGGACAACAGUUGGAAACGACUGCUAAUACCGCAUAAGCCCACGACCCGGCAUCGGGUUGAGGGAAAAGGAGCAAUCCGCUUUGAGAUGGCCUCGCGUCCGAUUAGCUAGUUGGUGAGGUAACGGCCCACCAAGGCAACGAUCGGUAGCCGGACUGAGAGGUUGAACGGCCACAUUGGGACUGAGACACGGCCCAGACUCCUACGGGAGGCAGCAGUGGGGAAUAUUGCACAAUGGGGGAAACCCUGAUGCAGCGACGCCGCGUGGAGGAAGAAGGUCUUCGGAUUGUAAACUCCUGUUGUUGAGGAAGAUAAUGACGGUACUCAACAAGGAAGUGACGGCUAACUACGUGCCAGCAGCCGCGGUAAAACGUAGGUCACAAGCGUUGUCCGGAAUUACUGGGUGUAAAGGGAGCGCAGGCGGGAAGACAAGUUGGAAGUGAAAUCUAUGGGCUCAACCCAUAAACUGCUUUCAAAACUGUUUUUCUUGAGUAGUGCAGAGGUAGGCGGAAUUCCCGGUGUAGCGGUGGAAUGCGUAGAUAUCGGGAGGAACACCAGUGGCGAAGGCGGCCUACUGGGCACCAACUGACGCUGAGGCUCGAAAGUGUGGGUAGCAAACAGG
rnacentral:rRNA from 1 species